rnacentral:rRNA from 1 species
GACAGAGGCCCCGAGCGUUAGGCGGAAUCACUGGGCUUAAAGCGUGUGUAGGCGGACCGUUAAGUGCAUCGGUGAAAUCCCACGGCUCACCCGUGGAACGGCUGGGCAUACUGGCGGUCUUGGGCCACUUAGGGCCGACCGGAACAAGCGGUGGAGCGGUGAAAUGCGUAGAUAUCGCUUGGAACGCCGACGGUGAAAACAGGUCGCUGGGAGUGCGCCGACGCUGAGACACGAAAGCCAGGGGAGCGAACGGG